CAGUAGCCGCGGUAAUACGAGGGGGGCAAGCGUUGUUCGGAAUUAUUGGGCGUAAAGGGUGCGUAGGCGGUUUGACAAGUCUUGUGUGAAAUCUCUGGGCUCAACCCAGAGUCUGCACGGGAAACUGUCGGGCUAGAGGAUGGGAGAGGUGAGUGGAAUUUCCGGUGUAGCGGUGAAAUGCGUAGAUAUCGGAAGGAACACCUGUGGCGAAAGCGGCUCACUGGACCAUUUCUGACGCUGAUGCACGAAAGCUAGGGGAGCAAACAGGACUAGAUACCCGUGUAGUCCCUGUCUCUUAUAA
rnacentral:rRNA from 1 species